rnacentral:misc_RNA from 1 species
GAUGAAGAACGUAGCGAAAUGCGAUAAGUAGUGUGAAUUGCAGAAUUCAGUGAAUCAUCGAAUCUUUGAACGCACAUUGCGCCCUUUGGUAUUCCAAAGGGCAUGCCUGUUCGAGCGUCAUUUGUACCCUCAAGCUUUGCUUGGUGUUGGGCGUCUUGUCUCUAGCUUUGCUGGAGACUCGCCUUAAAGUAAUUGGCAGCCGGCCUACUGGUUUCGGAACGCAGCACAAGUCGCACUCUCUAUCAGCAAAGGUCUAGCAUCCAUUAAGCCUUUUUUUCAACUUUUGACCUCGGAUCAGGUAGGGAUACCCGCUGAACUUAAGCAUAUCAAUAAGCGGAGGA